CGGUGUCCAGGGAAAUGUGUGUGUUGGCUGUUAACAGUCAACAUUGGCCGCCGCCACAAGAAUUUGAUGGUUAUUUCUGCCCAAUAAGGCAAUAAUACCACCGCAGUACAGCACCUUUUAACCACACGAACAUGAAAAACAACCGGAAUGAAUGAAAUUUCUCUCUUUUGUCCAAGUCCUGAUACUGUUCGUCUCUGGGUCGUCGAGGAAAGUAGUUCGUCCGGGAGGUCCAAAAAGAAUCAUACCGGGUCCGGGAGAAAGAGUGAUGGGGGUCGAAGAUGGGAGUCUGGAAGUGUCAUUUAGACAUAGAAGUUGAUGCAUUCAGGAGGCUAUUUCCACUUCGAUACUACGAGAAUCCAUCCGUCCUGAUGGCUGACCUAUCUAUACUGAAUUCUGUCACUCUUGGAGCUGUUCAUCUGAUGGUUGAGCGCUAGCUAAGAUUGGGUUACCCUGUAUAUUGUAGAGUAUGCUGGAUGCUAUCAAAAUAAAGCCAUGAUACCCAUCAGCAGAAUCACCUGACAAGGGUUGCUUAGCUAUUGAGUUUCAUAUGCCUCCUGUUUGUUCGCAACUUGUGAGACCUGGUCGGCCUGCGAAGCACCUGUUAUUGCUAAACAACUAUCUGAUGUUAUAUCAAGUUCUGGAAUGAUCAAUUCGAAGGAGUUGUCCUUACUCGGCGGAAAGGCAACAUGGAAUGCUUACCUGGCGUAUUUGAUAAAAUGAUGCUCAACAAAGUAAGAGGGUUUGUGUUCACCGAAUUUAACAGCCAAGGGUCUGGUGAAGGAUAGUUUAUCCUUGUAUACAAUUUUGGAAAUGGGCAAGGAGUCUUUCUUAGAAAAGUUCGUCAUCAAGUAUGAGCAAUAAGCUCCCAAACUAUUGAAGAAUUUCAGUUGUGAAACAGACGGAGCUGACAUUUUAGGGAAGGCAUAUUUGUGGUUUGCUGUUUGGUUUUGUAAGUUUAUUUAUUUAGGCUCUCUUAAGUUUCUGAUGAGAAUCGUGUCUAUUAGUACAUCAAUUUCCUAUGCUAACUUUUAGAGCAUUUUGAUAACAUUUGGAAUAUCCUGAUGGAACUGUACUGUAUGUUGGUCAAAGAACUCUCGUGAGAAAGUGUUGGCUGAUGUAGGUGUUAAAGCUCAAAGUUUCAUGGUGGUAGAUGAAAUGUUGUACUUUAUGUCUCCGUGGAUAUAUAUGGUGGUUGAGGUUUUCAUCGGGAAACAGAUAGCCUUUAAUUCAGGGCAACGGAACCACACAAAGGGACAGGGUAAUUACUUGUGAAUUCCUUGCGGUCCUAUUUUAUCAAGCUGUAUAAAAUGUAGCCAGGAAACUCCAUUCUAUGCCAUUUUAAGCAUGUGAAGCUUGUCGAGAAGUUGUAUCAAACAUCAGUGAAUGUUCUGCUCAAAUUGCUUGUGUGGUCUUUUUUGCUUUCUUUUUUAUGGUUUCAUGGAUCGUCAGAGAAGUUGCCGCUCCUCUCAUGGAGAAAUCCAAUGUAUGUCUAGUGUUUUUGUUUUUACUUCAUGAUUAUCAUUAUAGCUUUGAUAUUGGAUGUGAAAUUGUUGUUAACUUGAUGUUUGUGUAACUUUGGAUCUAGUCCUU